CUACGGGACGCAGCAGUGAGGAAUAUUGCACAAUGGAGGAAACUCUGAUGCAGCAACGCCGCGUGGAGGAUGACGCAUUUCGGUGUGUAAACUCCUUUUAUGAGUCAAGAAAAUGACGGUAGCUCAUGAAUAAGCACCGGCUAACUCCGUGCCAGCAGCCGCGGUAAUACGGAGGGUGCAAGCGUUACUCGGAAUCACUGGGCGUAAAGGACGCGUAGGCGGGAUAUCAAGUCAGGUGUGAAAUCCUACAGCUUAGCUGUAGAACUGCACUUGAAACUGGUAACCUAGAGUAUGGGAGGGGAGAUGGAAUUAGUGGUGUAGGGGUAAAAUCCGUAGAUAUCACUAGGAAUACCUAAAGCGAAGGCGAUCUCCUGGAACAUAACUGACGCUAAGGCGUGAAAGCGUGGGGAGCAAACAGGAUUAGAUACCCCAGUAGUC
rnacentral:rRNA from 1 species